AUGUGCCACGCGCGCACUGCGGUUCUGGGCGCGCCGUCCGCAACCAUUUGGCGCCUGCUCGCCAGGUGUCAUCAGCC
rnacentral:sRNA from 1 species